GAUGAACGCUGGCGGCGUGCCUAAUACAUGCAAGUAGAACGCUGAAGCUUGGUGCUUGCACCGAGCGGAUGAGUUGCGAACGGGUGAGUAACGCGUAGGUAACCUGCCUCUUAGCGGGGGAUAACUAUUGGAAACGAUAGCUAAUACCGCAUAAAAGUCGAUAUCGCAUGAUAUUGAUUUGAAAGGUGCAAAUGCAUCACUAAGAGAUGGACCUGCGUUGUAUUAGCUAGUUGGUGGGGUAACGGCUCACCAAGGCGACGAUACAUAGCCGACCUGAGAGGGUGAUCGGCCACACUGGGACUGAGACACGGCCCAGACUCCUACGGGAGGCAGCAGUAGGGAAUCUUCGGCAAUGGGGGCAACCCUGACCGAGCAACGCCGCGUGAGUGAAGAAGGUUUUCGGAUCGUAAAGCUCUGUUGUAAGAGAAGAACGAGUGUGAGAGUGGAAAGUUCACACUGUGACGGUAACUUACCAGAAAGGGACGGCUAACUACGUG
rnacentral:rRNA from 1 species